rnacentral:rRNA from 1 species
CGGCAACAGCUCAAAUUUAAAAUCUGGCCUCUUCGGGGCCCGAGUUGUAAUUUGUAGAGGGCGCUUUGGCAUUGGCAGCGGUCCAAGUUCCUUGGAACAGGACGUCACAGAGGGUGAGAAUCCCGUACGUGGUCGCUAGCCUUUACCGUGUAAAGCCCCUUCGAC